GACGAACGCUGGCGGCAUGCCUAAUACAUGCAAGUUGAACGAUGAUAUUCUCUGCUUGCAGAGAAUUGAAGAGUAGCGAACGGGUGAGUAACACGUGGGGAACCUGCCCAUGAGAGGGGGAUAACAUUCGGAAACGGAUGCUAAUACCGCAUAAUGCUUUGGACCGCCUGGUCCAGAGACGAAAGACGGCUUUUGCUGUCACUCAUGGAUGGCCCCGCGCCGUAUUAGCUAGUUGGUGAGGUAAUGGCUCACCAAAGCUGUGAUACGUAGCCGACCUGAGAGGGUGAUCGGCCACACUGGGACUGAGACACGGCCCAGACUCCUACGGGAGGCAGCAGUAGGGAAUCUUCCACAAUGGGCGAAAGCCUGAUGGAGCAAUGCCGCGUGAAUGAAGAAGGUCUUCGGAUCGUAAAGUUCUGUUAUUAGAGAAGAACAAGUCAAGGAGUAACUGUCUUGACUUUGGCGGUACCUAACCAGAAAGUCACGGCUAACUACGUG
rnacentral:rRNA from 1 species